rnacentral:rRNA from 1 species
CGAGGUGGGCGGGACGGGUGAGUAAUGUCUAGGGAAACUGCCUGGUGGAGGGGGAUAACUACUGGAAACGGUAGCUAAUACCGCAUAACGUCGCAAGACCAAAGAGGGGGACCUUCGGGCCUCUUGCCAUCGGAUGUGCCCAGAUGGGAUUAGCUAGUAGGUGGGGUAACGGCUCACCUAGGCGACGAUCCCUAGCUGGUCUGAGAGGAUGACCAGCCACACUGGAACUGAGACACGGUCCAG